GAUGGACGCUAGCGGCGUGCCUAACACAUGCAAGUCGAACGUGAGAGGGUACUUGUAUCCUUGAAAGUGGCGGACGGGUGAGUAAGACGUAGGUGACCUGCCUCGAAGUGGGGGAUAACCAUUGGAAACGAUGGCUAAUACCGCAUAAGCUGGUGACGAUGGGAAUGGUUAUCAGGAAAGCUUUAGUGCUUUGAGAGGGGCCUACGGCCGAUUAGCUAGUUGGUGAGGUAAAGGCUCACCAAGGCGAUGAUCGGUAGCUGGUCUGAGAGGACGAUCAGCCACACGGGAACUGAGACACGGUCCCGACUCCUACGGGGGGCAGCAGUGAGGAAUAUUCGGCAAUGGGGGCAACCCUGACCGAGCAACGCCGCGUGGAGGAUGACGGUUUUCGGAUUGUAAACUCCUUUUCUCAGGGAAGAGCGAGGACGGUACCUGGGGAAUAAGUCACGGCUAACUACGUG
rnacentral:rRNA from 1 species